rnacentral:rRNA from 1 species
AUGUGAACCAUACCAAACUGUUGCCUCGGCGGGGUCACGCCCCGGGUGCGUCGCAGCCCCGGAACCAGGCGCCCGCCGGAGGGACCAACCAAACUCUUUCUGUAGUCCCCUCGCGGACGUUAUUUCUUACAGCUCUGAGCAAAAAUUCAAAAUGAAUCAAAACUUUCAACAACGGAUCUCUUGGUUCUGGCAUCGAUGAAGAACGCAGCGAAAUGCGAUAAGUAAUGUGAAUUGCAGAAUUCAGUGAAUCAUCGAAUCUUUGAACGCACAUUGCGCCCGCCAGUAUUCUGGCGGGCAUGCCUGUCCGAGCGUCAUUUCAACCCUCGAACCCCUCCGGGGGUCCGGCGUUGGGGAUCGGGAACCCCUAAGACGGGAUCCCGGCCCCGAAAUACAGUGGCGGUCUCGCCGCAGCCUCUCAUGCGCAGUAGUUUGCACAACUCGCACCGGGAGCGCGGCGCGUCCACGUCCGUAAAACACCCAACUUCUGAAAUGUUGACCUCGGAUCAGGUAGGAAUACCCGCUGAACUUAAGCAUAUC